CUUUUUUUUUUUUUUUGUCUGGCAGUGCGGAUCUGCAGGAGGAAGAUCUGCACACCAUCAUUUGAAGUUGAAGACAUCACUGUCAACCCGUCUGACCUUGAAAAACGUACGGAGUAAACUACUUCUUGUCUGUUUUUUUUACCCUGACGAUGAGGAGUGACGAUACAUUUGCCUGGCCGCCAAGGUCCGGCCAAUCCUCCCUUUCGCGAGGUAGCAGUACUCCUCAUAUACUCAGGGCUUGUUUAGUUUGAAAAGUGAAAAAAUUUUCGGUACUGUAGUACUUUCGUUUGUUUAUGACAAAUAUUAUUCAAUUAUGGACUAACUAGUAUUAAAAGAUUCGUCUCGUAAUUUAUAGCUAAACUGUGUAAUUAGUUUUUGUUUUCGUCUAUAUUUAAUAUUUCAUGCAUGUACCACAAGAUUCGAUGUGACAUAAAAUCUUAAAAACUUUUUGGUUUUGAGAGUGAACUAAACAAGGCUUUGAAUUAGCGUGACGGUCACGACAGAUCACCAUCAAGGGGCGACAGCCAUGCAUUAAUGAUGGCUCGGUGGGUAAACACCCGAGAGAUAUUUGCGCACCCAACCCAACAUACCGCGUGCGAGUUGCUAUCGGAAACGUGACAGAAUCGUGCGCGAUCCCAUCCUCGCCCGCGUACUGUACUGUACCGGGCACCCUGACCGCUCCUGUUCCAAGGCGGAGUGUUAGGCACGUAGCCGGGGAGCAAGCUUGACAACGGAUGGAAAAAUUCCCGUGCGCGUCUCGCACUGUAUUACUCCCUCCGUCCCAAAUUACAAUUCAUUCCAAAAAUCUUAUAGAGUCAAAGUUUUUUAAAUUUUACUAAAUUUAUAUAAUAAAAUAAUAACAUUUUUAGUAUCAAUCAAGUAGAAUCUUUGUUAAUUAUAUUUUUAUAGUGUACCUAUUUUAUGACAUAAAUCUUUAUAUUUCUCUCUAUAUUUUGAGUCAAACUUGAAAAUCUUUUGACUCUCCAAGAUUUUUAAAAUGACUUAUAAUUUGAAAUAGAUUAUUAUUAUUGUUGUUGUUGUUGUUAUUAUUAUUAUUAUUAUUAUUAUUAUUAUUAUUAUUAUUAUUAUUAUUAUUAUUAUUAUUAUUAUUAUUAUUAUUAUUAUUAUUAUUAUUAUUAUUAUUAUUAUUAUUAUUAUUAUUUGACUUUAUUUAUGUAUAUACUUGAAAAUAUUAGAUUACCUGAUUUAAAUUUAACUUUUUGGCUUUGGGUGUUUAGUUCUCCUUUUAUUCCAAAGAAUUCGAACCUUUAGUUCAUAAUUUUGCAUCAGGUACUAAACAUCAUAUAAAAAUUUUGAUAAAAAAAUAAUUAUUCUCUAUUUUGGAUUUUGCCUUAAGAGGUAAAAAAGGUCCAAAAGUUUCUCAAAGCCCGUGCCCACUCCCACGAGCACUGAAAAAAUUGACAUUUUGGAUUGAACUAAAAACACCCUUGAAAAUAUGGUAUUUUUGUAUUUCAUUAUUUUAAAAUAUUUUUGUAUUUUACAUUCCAUAGAGAUAAACAUAACCCUAAAUUUAUCGGUUUCUGUAUUGUCGCAUGUCCUGAUUUCGGUGUUUAUAUCUCAGUUUUGGAGAGAGAGAGAGAGAGAGAGAGGGAGAGAGAGAGGAUUUUUUUUUUUCGUUUUUUAUCUGCGUGGCACACGGGAACGCGCGCGGGUGGCCGGCAGGCACGACGGACGAGUCGCCACGGGCGGAGCCCACGGACGGAGGGAGGGAAGAAAGCGACGCGACGCGACGGGCACGGGCUCGGUUCGGUUUGAAUGAAUGAAUAGUACAGCAGCGUGCAAGUUGCAAGGCAGCGGUUGAGACCUGGCAGCGAAGGUUCCCGUCGCCUAGCUAGCACGGUCGGCAGCAUGUGGAUUCCGUGGGUGCCCCACUUGCGCCUUGCCCGGUGAUACACUCGCGCAAGAGACGUGGUGGUGGUGGCUGGUGCCGCUCCAGCAAAAGGUGUUGACGCGUACGUAGUGGUAUCGUACGCGGUUUUGUAGGCACGUUUUCGUGGUGCCCGUUUGGACCACUUUUGAAUUUUUCUUUUGGGGGGCAAAUAGAGUAUUCCUAGCUUUGCGUGUUGGACUGUACAGAUUUGAGGCUGUGAUUGGAACUCCAUUUGGGAUUUUUCUUUCUUUCUUUCUCUUUCGUUUUCCAUUUGUUCUUGGAAUCGUCAAAUUUUUACUCUCAAAUUAAGCGAGGAGAAGUUGCUGCUGGCAUCAAGUUUUGUGUAAAAUUCAGCCAUGAUUUUUGCGGCAGAAAACACACGUGUCACGAAAGUCACACAAAUUGUUGAAUCUCCAUCUUUCUUUCUAGUAUUAUCGAAUCAUCAAAUCUUACAAGAGCAGCGAAACUCUCUCGUAAGAAAAAAAAAAACAAGAAGAAUAACAUCUCUCUACAACCCAUUUCAAUUUCCAUACAAACCAAUCCAGCCUGAGGAAGGCAGGAACCCACCGAAUUAAUCGAUCCACAUGACGCGACGCGAACUCCCCAAAUCACAGCGCGAUGGUGAGGCGCUCGGCGUCCGUCGUGCUGCCGCCGAGACCGAGCCAGGAGGAGGCCGCCGGCUGCUUCGUCUUCUCCGCCUCCUCCGCGGGGGACGGAGACGGGCGGGUGUAGGGCGCGCGCUCCACGAGGCGGUCCUUGCGUUUGGCCAGGAACCGCUGCAGCGACGCCUUCCUGGCGAUGGGCAGGUCGUCGCGCGGAGCCGGAGCCGGAGCCGGGGCCGGGGCCGGGACCGCCGCGCGCUCGGCGCCGCCGGCUGCGAGGCGCAUGACCUCGGCCGCCUUCUCCGCGGGGAAGUCCUCGAACACCACCACCCUGCCGCCGUAGAAGAUGGUGAGCGGCGCCGCCGUGGAGGCGGGCCCAGCCAUCUCCUCGCCCCUCGCGGCGGCGGCCGGGGUCGGCUCCUGCUCGGCGCCGACGUCCGCGCCGGGCAUGAGGCUCAGCGUCGUGGCCGGGGCGCGAGCGGCAGGGGCUGCGGCGGCCGCCAUCUGCUGCUCGGCCUUGACGUACUGGCUCAGCACCCCGCAGGCCAGCGCGAACCUCCGGCUCUUGCCCUCCGCUGCCGCCAUGGCCAUGUCAAUCGAGACGACUGCUUCGCGCUUGCUUCUCCUCCUUCUCUUUGCCUUGGCUUGUGUUGCUGUUUGCUCUUGCUCUUGGUGGUGCUGUGGGAAUGGAUGAUGGGGGCGCCGCGGGCAGCCUUGUGUUUUAUAGGGGUCGGGAAAUGGGGGCGGAGGAGGAGGGGCAGGGCAAGAAGGCAAUUGACUUGAUGGAGUGGAGACGUGGGGAGGCAUCGUUUAGGGCGGAUUAGUUUUUUCGCCGGCGGGUGGGGGGAGGGGGGGAGACGUGAGGCGCGGUGGUGGCGUGGUGCUGGGCACGAAGAACACGUGAUUCCUGUGGGCGACGGGCAGGGAGGCAGGGGCAGGUUGGGUGGGGUGGGCCGGCGUUGUCGGAUGGAGACGUGAGGAAAAAGAGAAUGCCUAAUUGCCUCUCUAUUUUUUUUUAUUCGUUCGUUCGGCGGGGGAGAGAGAGAGAGGUGUGGUGCGGGCCUUUUCGUCUUGUCGACCAUCGGCUAGCUGCGGCCAGUUGUAUUUCUUUUUGUAGGAAGUAUGCUUCACGCUCUAAAAAAACGUGGUAAAAAAAACGUGGUUGGGACUUCUUUAGGCAGGAAUCCAACCGGGGAAUGCAUGAGCUCCACUUUUAUUCGUUUACAAAUACAAAACAUACUUCCUCUAGUCUACAAUAAUUAUACAUCCCAUUUUACAAGAAAUAAUAUUUUUUUUAAAAGAUAACUAAAUAAUUUGUCCUCUUGUUUCCAGGGUGUUCUCACAAUUGUGAAGUCUCUAUUACUAAAGCUUGUAUAAGUCUCCCUUAGACCAAUCUGUGUCCAAAAAUAUUUGCAAAAAACAUACUUCUUGUUUCUUUGAACUUCGGCCCGUGCUUUAACAAAUCGACUACAUAUGAACCGAUUGUGUGUAGGCACUGUCUUUUCCCUAUCCUCUUCUUGCCGAAGGGGGCGACAACAACACAACUGUCUAGCGCUCGACGGGGUGUGACUAGUCCUGGUCCACCAUAAUGGUGGUUGCUAAUAAGUAUAUGUUUGGUUGGUCUAGGAUGGUUGGGGUCGGGCCCAAACUCGUGGAUCAGUCUGGUGUGAAAAUGUUCCUUGCACAUGGCGAAACCCAAGACGGUAGUGUGGCUAUGCUCUUGCCAGUUGAUGGUGGCCGCGUUGUUGUGGGAAGCGACGAGCAUGUCAAGGAGGAUGUUCUCGAGCCACGAGAGAUACUCAGAGUAUGGGAGCAUCGCGAUAAGAAAUUACCUGUAGCCGGUUUAGAGGCAGAUGUGGACAACUAGCAGGCAGUUGGGGACAACGACUAUUAGGACGUGUUGGAGCAUGUCACGGUUAGACUCACGAUCCUCGUCCUCUAUCACACCAGAGCGUGUGUAUGAGGUGGCUAGAAGAUGUGAGUAAUGCCAGUGAGGUGCACGAGGGCAUCAUCCACUACGACGGGGUUGGCAAGAUCAAAAUCGGGGUGGAACAACAUGAUUAGCGUUCGAGGAAGAGGAAGUGCUCGUGGACAUGGACCUAGACGAGAGCAGGCGACGGGAAAAGCACAUACACCUCCUUGUUCACGAACCAUGUGUCCUUCCCAGCCAUGGCGUCCUCGAGCUCGAGCUUGAUGAAGGGCUUGUCCUCCCUGUCAUACGUGGAGCACUCCAACUCAAAAUGGUUGGCUAGCAUUAGCCGCAGCUUUAGUGUGUGAUCGGCGACGUGCUGCGCGUCGAAGGCAUCGCUGAACCCUGACCCAGCGAUGAGGCAUCUAGACCAGUUUGGUGCGUUACCGUCCUUGCAGCAUAUGGCAACAUAGAUGCAAAGGCUAGCGACAAUAUUCUCGGCGCUACGCGGGGAGGAACCGAAGAACAUCAUGACAAAAAACUUUCUUAUAUAUUUUUCUUCUCUAACAGUUACCAGAUCUCAAAAUAAUAUAUAGGGAUGGACAAUAUGACAUCCCAAAUUCGAGAAGAGGAGGAUUUAGAGUACCACUACAUAUAGGAUAUUUUUCUUCCCUGUGUGGGUAAUUUAUGGGGAUAUCAUUUUAUUAACAUUCCAGUUCUUAGUGGGGUUUUUUUCAUCCACUGGUUUUGCUCUCCUUUGCUUUUAAAGGAGCUCUUAACAAGUUUAGGAACCGUUCAUGCAUCUAAAUUUUAAUAAAGAAAUUUGCAAUGGCUAAACUAGAAGUUGAAAUGGUAAACGACCACCGGUUGCAAUCGAUGAGCAAAACAAUACAUAGAAGUUGUCAGAAGCAUAAGGAAUUUCUUAGUUUUUUAGCAAAUAAGGAUUUUAUUAGUAAAUAAAGAAAAUAAAAUAUGACACGGCAGCCGAGCCCAACUUAUCCCCCUGCACUCUGUUGAACAUGCAAGGCCGGCGAGCCCAGUAGCCAAGCCCAUAUCCAUCAGACCACAACCGUACCAUCUCCCCUGUACAGGCUGUACUGCUGCUAGUCUGUUACUCCAUCAACAGAACCUGCGUGCCCGUUACGUACGUGGCGCUUCCGUCGCCGCAGGAUCACAUCGAAAAGGAAAAGGGAGCCGUACGAGCUCAUGUGGCAACUGCGUGCACGCCUUUCCCCCGGCCCUGUGGCCUGCUCAUGGUUCAUUCACGAGAAAGAUCUCGGGGGCGUCACGCGACGCGCCCAUACCGCACCGGCCUUUAUUCCCCCUCUCCCUCUCUCGUCCGCUGCCCGAUUUUGAUUUUCUGGUCCGCGUACGAACCACGAGGGGAGAUUUGUAUAGAUGAUGAUCGUAUCCGGCUAAUUGAGGUUGAGGAGGCGGAGCAAUGAUUUCCAUCAGUCAGAUUCGUUCGUCGCUAAGCAAAUAGUCCGCCCGCGCUAAGCCUUUAAUUACACUGCAGCUGCUAUCUUUGAAACGAAACUCCUGUGGUGGUGCCGGUGGUGGAGACGCGUCAUGCGCGCAGGCAAACACGUUUCGUUUCGUGGCGACGGGGGAGCAGGGACAGCGACGUGGCGUGCAGCACCGCCCACCUGCCCCCACGCACCCCUGUCGCGUGGCCGUGGCGUGACUGUUGAAACAAAACAAGCGGCCCCAGGAGGAUUAGCUCGAUCGGCGGCAGCGGGAAGGAAGAUGCCGCGCGGGACCGGGCAACAUGCGCCAGAAAUUAAAUUCCGUCACAUGUGCGCAUGCAGCAACGUGCUGGGAUAAAGAUAUACUACUAUCUGCAUCGUGCUAGCAAAUUGCAUAAUAAUCAGGGCGACUUGUUAAACGGGAGAACAAUAUAAUUAAUAAUCAGAAGCAUGACAAGACUUGCUAAGCAAACAAUGUCACUUUUCUUGCAGCAGAGGCUACAACUUGACGUGGGGCUAGCUGAUGGACUCGUCUUCUGGUUCUUAAGUUAAUUUAAUUUGGUGUUUGCGCAGCCUGUGAGUCCUCUUGCCUAUGGUUGAAACCUUGAUGUCUUUGUUAAUCCCCCUUUUUUAUAUAUAUAAAAAAAAAUGAUUCAGUCGCAGCCGCCUGCUAUACAUGCCAGCAUAUUAUUAUUAUAUAUACUGAUACUGAUACUAGCUCAAAGGAUAAGAAAAAUGGUGAAAGUAAACGCGAACGUGAGUCAACUUUGUGUUUGUUCGCCACGAAGGACGGAGCCCAAAUACGACUCAGUCACUUGUUCUGUUUUCUUUUCCUCGUGGUUCGUUGCUUAUUUUCUUUUUCGAUAAUGCAAGAUCUUGUUGUAAAUAAACAAAAACAACGAGAUCAAGGACCAGAGGUCAGGUGUCCUGACCUGCGGCAUAUCAAAAUGUACUGAGGUCAUUUUUUCAUGCCGCGUUGUGACUGCACCGCAGCUAAUUGUUUCUUUUUCAUUUGAUAUCUACAGCUAAUUGUUGAUCAUUUUGCCUUUAGCAGCCACAACUACAGCUGCAGCCAGCGCAUCAUUAGUGACUAUCGUUAGGGGCGAAGGAAUAUACUGUUGUGAGUAUAAGUUGCCAAAUCACUUUAUGUGUCGUUUUUUCAUGCAAAAAGUUUUUUUUAUCAUAAGUACAGUGAUGCUCUUAGUAGCCGAACCAAAAGUUACGGAUUAGAUAUCAUGAUGUUUGUCUUAGAAAUCGACGUAACCACCUUCGAUGUAGAUAUCAAGAUGUUUGUUCCUCUUAGAACACUCACAAUGCAGACUCUAUCAUAGAGUCUAAAGUUAUUUAUUACUUCGAACAAUGUGGACUUAGAGUCUAAAUAAGACUUGGAGUCUUAUUUUUUCUACCUCUUUCUUCAAUAAAUAUGCUGCCACAUCAGCAAAAUACCAUAAAUACUAUGUAAUUAAUUGUCUUAGACUCUGUGAUAGAGUCUUGCAUUGUGAGUGCCCUUAAGACAUAAGAGGAAUGGCAAUAAACAACAAUUAAUGUGGUAAGGACAUGACUUACAGAAACGGUGUAAGAAUUUAGUAUGGAUCAAAUUUAUUUUCCGAGGAAUACAAUAAACAUGAAAAAAAUCCUACAUUUCAAAGGCAUGGCAGGAUUUGUUAAGCAAACAAUGUCGCUUUUCUUGCAGCAGCGGCUAUAACUUGACGUGGGGCUCAUGGACUCGUUUGGUUCUUAAUUUAACUUGGUGUUGCGCAGCCUCGGUCCUCCUGCCUACGGUUGAAACAUAGCUUGAUGUCUUUGUUAAAUGUUAAUCCCCCUUUUCAUUAAAAAAAUGAUUCAGUUGCAGCCGCCUGUUAUACAUGCCAGCAUAUAUACUGAUAUACUGAGACUCAAAUGACAAGAAAAUGGUGAAAGUAAACACGAACGGGAGUUAACUUUUGUGUUUGGUCGUCAGAAAGGAGCCCCAAGACCACUCAGUCAGAUGUUCUGUUUUCUUUCCUCAUGGUCCAUUGUUUCUUUUUUUCCCCCGAUAAUGCAAGAUCUUGUUACAGAUAAAUAUUACAAUGAGAUGAAGGACAAAAGGUCCUGACCACUGGCAUAUCAUGAUCUUAGCAGCCUAGAAUCAGAAAUAUGGUACAUGUUCCUGUUCUUAUGUUCCACGUUCUGAAAAUAGAAUAUUCCCGUUCUUAAAAAUAAUACGCCAAUUUUCUGUUUCUGGGAACGGAACAGAAACAUGGCUACUAAGGUCAUGAUGUACAUAAGUUUUAACAUACUAUGAUACAUUCAACAGUAUAUAUGAUUUACAGGAAUGGUGCAAGAAUGUUGUGCGAAUCAAAUUAUUUUCCUAGGAAUACAAUAAACAUGAAAGAGUUCCUACAUUUCAAAGAGAAUUUUAGUGUUGAAGAAAAGAGCUCACACCAUUGUGUCCUUACUCGACAAAUGGGGAUGUUGACCAAGUGAUCCUGGUUUUCAGCGAACUGAUCAAUGCACACCAUUUCCAUGUUUGGUCAAUUCAGUAGACUGCAGAGAUAAUUAGCAUAUGCGUACCGUGUCUAGGGUGCAUACGUAUAUGUGCACAUAAGUACGUAAUUGGUAGAGGAAAGAACCAGCAACAAGUAAGCCACAGAGUUGUUACGAUACUGAUAACACGUGGAAUUCCAGACGCAAUGCACACUGAAUAAACUAUUAGUUCGUGUUCAACCAGUGAGACCUCUGCGAUAGCUACAGACACAUGACACUGAUUGAUGAGCUAGGCAGCUUGCGUGUUUGAUCCAUGGGUCAACUAUCUGAAUGAGAUGGUCGAACUAAAAUGCUGGAAAAGAAAAGGAAGAAUACCUACUGGCGAAAAACACGCUAAUGUUUGGUUGAGUACCUGGGGCCCUCAGCAAAGGUGCUAGCCAUCGAGCGCAGAGCAGAGCCUGGCCAAAUAAGACUCCUUCUCCUAAUCUCCUGAUACUGAUCGCAACCUAAUGUUAAUUUGAACUACAGUCUGGGCUCUCUUUUGCUUUUGAAAUUAAUGGCAAUCUUAAUUUUCCAAAUAGACUAUCCAUUUCAUUGGCUUUUAACUAGCAACAGCCACCAAGCACUUCAGAGCAGUAGCACAGUAGCAGCACCUGUGGGGGUCAAAGCAAAGUUCUUGCAUCCUCGCAUGCGACUGACAUGUGGAAUAUUCAGUUUCGUCUCAUCAGACAUCAGAGUCUGCAGCCAGCCAGACGUGGAGACGAAGAACACGCAGGAGACUAGGAGAGCGAGAAAGAGAAAGGCCAACAGAACUUGCUCCCCGUCGUCUUCUCCCUUCUACUACUAAUUAUCUUUCCUGCCAGUCCCACCACUGAGUUUUGACCACGUACACGCGAAACGUGCCACGACGAUGCCGACGGAUGUGUGUUUAGUAUACCACCACCUAAUGCAAGUUUUGUCGGAGGAGAGGAGCUUUGAAACGGUAAGCAUAGGCCGGCCGGCGUCGUCCCAAAGUCUCGGUGACGACGACGUGUAACGACUGCACCACACACCCAUGCAUGCACGUUUCUUCUUUCCUCCCUCUCCGUGUUCCUGCGCGCGGCUUCCUACUCCCCUCCCUCUCCGCCGGUUCCUUGAUGAGCUGUUCCUACCACCGCGGACAGCGCAGCACAUGAAAGUUUAGCUUUAAUUUGGUGUGUGAACCAAUCACCAUGAAGCCGAAAGUUUAACACAUCUGAACUUGUCUUUUAACAAAUGACGGCUAUUGCUAUGGUUCGUUCCUUCAUCAGUUGUUUCUUUGUUUUGUCUGAAUAAUUGUUCAGAGUUUGUUUGUUUGUUCACACCAAGAGUUUUUUAAGGUCGUAUCAGAUGACAGAUAAAUUAAUUGUUUCGCGCAGUUUUUGCGUUAAAAUUUGGAAAUAGUAGCAUCUCAGGAACAUAAUUGAUACAUGGAGCAUGGAGGAGUGCUAGCUAUGUGUUUCCGUUUCACUGAUGACCAAAAAAGGGGGCAAACAAUCCACAUAACUGAAUACUUUGUCAGCAACUCAGCACUAUAUAUAUGACACGAGACUGAAACAAUGAAGCAAAAGAAUAGCAUAUAACCUGUUCCAUCAGCUUAUUUGAAUUUACACACUGUAUAUGUAUGAAAUCGAUCAUCUAGAUUUAAUUAAUUAGUUCAUAUCCUUGCAGAUGAAUAUCAGCAAGGAAGGAAAGAAUUCUUUUGUCGCCAAAGAAUUCUCAAACAGACAACUAAUUAACCAAUCAUAAUACACUAAUUAGCUGGCUAGCUAAUUCCCCUGAAGCAACCAGUAACUGGUGUAAAUGUCAAGGGUUGAAACACGUACAUAUUUUUA
rnacentral:lncRNA from 1 species